rnacentral:lncRNA from 1 species
UGACUUCAAUUUGGCAAUUUCUUGGGGAUAUCUUUUUUAUCAAAUUGUAUUUUCGCGGAGUUCAACAGUGAAAAUGUGAAAUAUGUCCAAUUAUUUGAAUUUUUGUUGAUAUUUUGAAAUUGAUAUUAUGUAUUGAUGAGCCAUCAAGUUAAAAUUAAAAAGAAUUCCAAGUUGCAAAUGCUAUUUGGAAGUUGAAUUUGCUCUGCUAGGUUGCAGAGUAUACUUGAAUUUAUUUUAUCAAAAGAUGAAUAUUUAUCAUCUCUUAGUUUCCCCUUCUUUGUCAUAUAUCUUUACGAAAUUGUUGUAGAAAUAUUUAGAUGAUAAUUGGAUUGUGUUGAUAAUGUACUUGGAAGAUCAUACGAGGAAUUUCAGGGAAAAAAGGGUUUGUUGCUUGUGUCCAUUUUAUUUCAGGUGUCCGGAAAAAAAUGUUGAGUGUGGAAAGUAUAUCCAUCCUUGUGCGUUUGGGUCUGUUAUUCAUAUUGAUAGUUGACAUUCCAUGUGAGGAAGCAUAUUUCACAUAAAACAUAUAUUCACUUUGUGUUGUUAGGUAACUAUUGUAGCUUUGCACAUCUGCUUUCGUAAUGGUUUAUUGUUGCACAUUUUAUAGGCUAAUGUUGCUAGAAGAAAUCGAAUUUCUUUCCGUUCAAAUGAUGGAAUGAUGAUUGAUGGCGUUAAAGAUUACUCUCACCUGGUUGCUGAAAUGAUAUGAUUGUCGUAAGUUUUAACUUACUAUGAAUGCUUUUAGUUUUCGUCAACUGCAACUCUAUUAUGUAUUUUGAGCCGAAUAUUUUUAAAUAACAGCAUCAACAUAAUUAAAUUUAUUUUACUCUUGAAACGACAAAUAUGUUUCCUCUUCCUUUUUGAUGAAAGUUAAAUCACAAUAGAUUUGUCUUUUAUAUGAAGAUUUUCUUCUUCUGAAUUGCUGUUGCGCACUGUACUUGAUAUUGGUUGCGGGUCUGGUAGUUUUAGUGCUCGUCUUCUAUCGCUUAAGCUGAUGUGUGACAGCAUAUGAGCCAACAGGUAGACAUGUUCAAUUGGCACUUGAUAGAGGUCUCCCUUCAAUCAAAACUUAAUCUAAAGACAGGUCCCUCUUCAUCCUUUGUCAUAUGAAGUGGUUCACUGCACUCAAUGUAGCAUUGUCUGGGAUAACAAAGGUAUGAUCCUCAUUAAGGUUUGGGGUUUUGUUUUUUUCCAUUAAAUCACCAUUUCUUCAUCAGAUUAAGUGCAGUGGUUUUUAUUGAUUUUUCACCGAUGAAAAUACUUGAAAUUAAUUUGACAUUUAGCCUAAUGUAUUGCGAACUUUUCUGAUCCAAACAAGAAGGAAAAGAAAGCGAAUGAUCCAAACAAGCCAAAGAGACCUCCAAGUGCUUUCUUUGUUUUCAUGUAUGCCCAUUUGCAUUUUUGGUCUCUAUCAUUUCUGUCUAUUGUUCUUAUAUAUUACCUUUUUUAUGCCGCUUGGCAGACUACAACAAUAAUUUGGUAAUCCAUCUAUGAGAAGCACGGUGUUAUACACAGUUUAGUUUGAAUUGUGAUACUGAAACGACUUGUGCCGAACUGUUUUUAUAGGCUAGAGGGGCUGUUGAAUUCGACAAGGCAAAGUCUGAGGUUAAUGGUGAUGAGGACGAUGAGAACAGUGGAGACGUUAGUUGAAAUUAAGCUAUACAACUUUUUUGUACUUGAAACUUUGCUACUAUGUUGACUUUUUAUUUUGUUUUAAUUAAUUUAGGGGGAAGACGAUGAGUAAGCACUAUUACAGAAAACUGGAUUUUGGAUUCAAGGUGAGAACCAACAAUCAAUCUUCCUUCAUUAUUUGCAUUUAUGGCUUCAGGUUUUGUAAAAUGUUCGAUUUGAAAGUGAGUUAAUUGGAUUGGUAGAUUUCAUGAAGAAUUAUUGUGUAAAAUUUGGCUUCAGGUGAAUUUUACUGAAAUUAAUUGAAAGUAAUUAUCAAUAAUACUCCUUUUUUAAUUUUUAUUUUUUAAAGUUGCUAAUGUGUUUGUUCUUCCUUUCAGUGAGGGAACAAGCAUCUCUUUGCCAUUAACUUGGGGCAAAAAAAGAGAGGAAACGUAUGCCUUGUUUUUCAUUAUUGCCUAUUGGUACACAAGACGUAUUUAGAGGAAAGGGGUGGAGGAAGAGGGGGUUGAGUGCUUGUAGACCAUGAGCAAAAAUGGCAGACUACAAUAAGAAUUUGGUAAUUUCAUCUAUGAAAUUCUCUAUUACAAUGCACUACGUGCAUCUCACAUGCGAAGAACUAGUUCGAUAAAUAUUCAAUAUUUUGCAGCAAGCUUCAUAUCUUGUUAAAUUUUGAAGGUCCUUCCUUUUGUGAAAUCAUUUAAGUUAAAAAUGUUAAGAGAGAAAAACAUUAAUUUAUUAAUAUCUUCAAAACUCUUCUUAUGGUGCAGGUAGAUUUAAUUUUUCUAUAAACAUUAAAUUUCUGACUUUGAUGGGGAUGAUGUUAUUAUUUUACAGAUUUUCAUCUGGUCGUCCAUUACCAAUACAAUUUCGAGACUCGAUUUGAUUAGAGACUAAUAGCUCAGUCAUCUACCAGGUCAAGAAAGUUAUUAAUUGGGUUAGUUGCUGUAAGCUUGUGGGCUGACCACCUAUAUGCCUGCUUUGCAUAUAUUUCGUUGCCAGCUCCAAUCCACAUCAUUUGAUGACGUGUUGUUUACAACAAAUUUGACUUGUACACAAUAUCUGUUAUUACGAGAGUUAGAGAGAGAGGCCAAUUCAAACCAUCAUUUGGUGACACAUUUUUUAAGAGCAAUCGUGGAACCUAUAUUUGUUAAGUGAAGUCAAUGUUAUGCUGAAGCAAACAAAAGAUUAUGACGAUUGAGGAUAGUCAAGUUCACAUUUCACUUCUUAUCUUUCCAUUCUCUCUCUUUUAGAGUAAAGAUCAUUUGUAGUAUUUCGUGGCUACCAAAUAUUCAAAUACUCCAGGGAACAUUGUAGAUGUAAAAUUCUGCAUUAUAUAAUAGGAGGAAUUUCUUUUUUUUUUUUUUUUUUCCUAAAUGGAUUAUCAGGUAAGUUGUCAUUAUUUGCAAUAGUAAUAGGCUUUUUAUUAUGAUGUGCAGUUGCACAUGUCCAUGUGUGUCCACGUAUACUUGUGUGUGUAAAUGUGGAAUAAUGAUAUUUACAAUCUAUUCUUACCUAUUAGCAAUUAGCAUUCUAUGUAGAUGUAUUGUUACUGCCACAUUUUCCUAUAAUUUUAGAGUAGGGAUAUUUGUAAGCAUCGUACUGAAAACAACAAUCUAU